GACGAACGCUGGCGGCGUGCUUAACACAUGCAAGUCGAACGGAAAGGCCUCUUUCGGGGGGUACUCGAGUGGCGAACGGGUGAGUAACACGUGAGUAACCUGCCCUUGACUUUGGGAUAACUUCAGGAAACUGGGGCUAAUACCGGAUAGGAGCUCCUGCUGCAUGGUGGGGGUUGGAAAGUUUCGGCGGUUGGGGAUGGACUCGCGGCUUAUCAGCUUGUUGGUGGGGUAGUGGCUUACCAAGGCUUUGACGGGUAGCCGGCCUGAGAGGGUGACCGGCCACAUUGGGACUGAGAUACGGCCCAGAAUCCUAAGGGAGGCAGCAGGGGGGAAAAUUGCACAAAGGGUGGAAGCCUGAUGCAGCAACGCCGUGUGCGGGAUGACGGCCUUCGGGUUGUAAACCGCUUUCGCUCAUGACGAAGCUUUGUGUGACGGUAGUGGGUAAAGAAGCACCGGCUAACUACGUG
rnacentral:rRNA from 1 species